GUGAGCAUAAACUUUGAAUACGAAAAUUUUGGCCACCGGGAAGAACUGUGUUUGUUAUUGUUUUGGUCAAGAUAGUAUAUGCUUCGUGGAACAGUAGUGGUAACUCCGCCAUAGGCUUUGUGCUGUUUCGAUUUAUAAGAUACGAAAAGCAGAACGCAAAAUGGGUUGCAAAUUUGUUGGAGAGAGAAUAGGAAACGUAAUAUACAUUGACAUUCUGGGAGUUAAUCACUGAAGCGUUUAACGAUGAGACUUGCUAAAAGCAGAAGGUGACAUGCAGCUAAACAGUAGAUACUGUGAGAGAUUUGCAUUUGCAAAACAAGAUACUAAAGAAACAGGAACACGUCGCAAAUUCAGUAGUACCACAACAGAAUGACUACAGGAGCGAAAUGUACACCUCGCCACUCUAAAUUGGGGCCCAGCUCAUUGCCAGACUGCAGGAGAACGUCUCUGUGAAAUAGGAUACACUGGAACAUAUGUAAGCUCUUAUGGGGCGUGAUGGUUACAGAAAGCUUGUCACAAGCUAUUAAUGUUGGUGACUGGGCUGAGGAUGCUGUUUUGAUCAAGACUGACCCACAUCUCAUUUUGGACAAUUCCUAAACCUCCCCAAACUUGUACUCUAAAUGCUCAACAAAAAACUGAGGCUUCAUCGUCAUGAAAGAUUGCCCAUCAGCUCUCGAACAUACAAGGUACCGUGGUGAAUAAGUUCCGCUGCCAUCCUUAGCCUGAUGUUUCUUCCAUGGUGUGGCCAAGGAGGGGAAUGAUUUGGGGUUGCACUUCUGUGCAUUGAAUUGAACUUGUGAUAGCUUAGAGACUAAUAGUGUUUCACCACCACCAACAAGAGAUGACGGACUACGAUUCAUUGCUUGUCAUUCUCCCUGAUGCCACCUAUUCAGACCAGGGGCACUACCUUCAGGCGCCACCUAGCCACAGCAAAGGCACCCUGGCAGGACGGCCAUUGCCGGAAGUCCCGAUGCCGCAGGGGGAUGGGUAUCUACCCCUUGGCAUAUGCGGGGAGUUACCGGCAUAGGCAUCAGCAGAGCGAUUCCCGUGCGGUCAGGGGGCUACAACCAACACGGUACAUGGCGGCCCCACCACA